GUCGCCGUAUACUGCUGUAUACCAAAAUACUCCACUGUACGGGAGGUUGCCUAGUUGAAGGGGCUUCAUUCUGAAUAUGGAAUUAUGACAACACUUCAAUUCAUGAAAUCACAGAUAGUAUUGUAAUACGAUUGACUGAGUGCAUAUAACGAGAAUCCCAGAGUAUACACGUGCGUAUUUAUAUACAUACGAAGGUGUGGGAACCAGAGAGAUCCAAUGUUCUGACUAGCCAAUGAACUCUAGAGAAAGCUGAGAGUCAGAAAAUAGACAGGCGCAUCCUCCAUUCGCCUAGAUAUACAUUAGCGUUAUAGACGCGUGCACAUGUAUAUCAGCGGCCGAAGAUCAAGAGAAUCAUAAAAACAGACACGAUCUCUUUGUAUUGAGUCUGCGUGACGCUUAUACCACAAGAAAAGUUCAUGGAGAAAACGAUGAUUUUUACAUGCCGAUGAAGUAAAGUAUCUUAACCAAAUGGCGGUACGAAAUCUUGCGGAAUUAUAGGGACAUCGACUAUAUAUUUAAUUGUUUCGUACGAUUCUAACUAAUGAUGAAACUUGCUACAAAAUUAUGUUUGCUAUACUAUGAUCAAACAUGAUUAUUCGUUAGUAUGCGAAUAAAAUGAUCGUUUGCUAAAUAAAAAGUGAAAUAGAAAUUUUCAUAUCAGUUAACUUACGAUAAAUAAGCUGUCCAAAAGUAUCACCUGGAUCAUUUUAGUUAGACCUGCGUGUCUAUAAUUGGCUAUAUAAUCUCAUUGUUGUUAAGACGCUUCAGCUA